UAAUCCCAAAUCUCUAAUCUGACAGGUGUCAUUAUGAAAAGAAGAGAUGGGGACACAGACACACGACCACGAGAGGACUCAGGAGAAGGCUGCCUUCUGCAAGCCAAGAGGAGAGGGCUCAACAGGCCAAGCCAGGACCACACACUCCUGAGCUCCCUUUUCCUAAUGCUGAACCGAUGCUGAACCUCGACUUCCAGCCUCCACGACUGAGAAAAUGAACUUUUAUGUCAGCCACCAAAUCUGAACUGCUCUGUUACGGUAGCCCUAGCACGCUGGUACACCUAUAGUUCCUUUUCCCAUUGUGGUUUCAACUUAAAAAAGAAGCAAGCUGAGCUGGGCACAGUGAUCCACACCUGUAAUCCCAGUGGCUUGGGAGGCUGAGGCAGGAGGAUGGUGAGUUCAAAGCCAGCCUCAGCAAUUUAGUGAGGCCUAAGCAAC
rnacentral:lncRNA from 1 species